rnacentral:rRNA from 1 species
AGGACGAACGCUGGCGGCGUGCUUAACACAUGCAAGUCGAGCGGAAAGGCCCUUCGGGGUACUCGAGCGGCGAACGGGUGAGUAACACGUGGGUAACCUGCCCCUUGCUCUGGGAUAACUCCGGGAAACCGGGGCUAAUACCGGAUAUGACGCUCGCAGGCAUCUGCUGGGUGUGGAAAGUUUUUCGGCGAGGGAUGGGCCCGCGGCCUAUCAGCUUGUUGGUGGGGUGAUGGCCUACCAAGGCAGUGACGGGUA